rnacentral:rRNA from 1 species
ACCUGGCCUUGACAUACUAAGAACUUUCCAGAGAUGGAUUGGUGCCUUCGGGAACUUAGAUACAGGUGCUGCAUGGCUGUCGUCAGCUCGUGUCGUGAGAUGUUGGGUUAAGUCCCGCAACGAGCGCAACCUUUUCCUUAUUUGCCAGCGGGUUAAGCCGGGAACUUUAAGGAUACUGCCAGUGACAAACUGGAGGAAGGCGGGGACGACGUCAAGUCAUCAUGGCCCUUACGGCCAGGGCUACACACGUGCUACAAUGGUCGGUACAAAGGGUUGCUACCUCGCGAGAGGAUGCUAAUCUCAAAAAGCCGAUCGUAGUCCGGAUCGCAGUCUGCAACUCGACUGCGUGAAGUCGGAAUCGCUAGUAAUCGCGGAUCAGAAUGCCGCGGUGAAUACGUUCCCGGGCCUUGUACACACCGCCCGUCACACCAUGGGAGUUUGUUGCACCAGAAGUAGGUAGUCUAACCGCAAGGAGGACGCUUACCACGGUGUGGCCGAUGACUGGGGUGAAGUCGUAACAAGGUAGGCGUAGAUGA